GACGAACGCUGGCGGCGUGCUUAACACAUGCAAGUCGAACGGAAAGGCCUUUUCGGAGGUACUCGAGUGGCGAACGGGUGCGUAACACGUGGGUGAUCUGCCCUGCACUCUGGGAUAAGCCUGGGAAACUGGGUCUAAUACCGGAUAGGACCGCACUUUAGUGUGUGUGGUGGAAAGUUUUUUCGGUGUAGGAUGAGCCCGCGGCCUAUCAGCUUGUUGGUGGGGUAAUGGCCUACCAAGGCGGCGACGGGUAGCCGGACUGAGAGGUUGGUCGGCCACAUUGGGACUGAGAUACGGCCCAGACGCCUACGGGAGGCAGCAGUGGGGAAUAUUGCACAAUGGGCGCAAGCCUGAUGCAGCGACGCCGCGUGGGGGAUGACGGCCUUCGGGUUGUAAACUCCUUUCGCCAGGGACGAAGCGUUUUGUGACGGUACCUGGAGAAGAAGCACCGGCUAACUACGUG
rnacentral:rRNA from 1 species